rnacentral:rRNA from 1 species
AGUGAACGCUGGCGGUAGGCCUAACACAUGCAAGCCGAACGGCAGCACAGUAAGAGCUUGCUCUUACGGGUGGCGAGUGGUGGACGGGUGAGGAAUACAUCGGAAUCUACUUUUUCGUGGGGGAUAACGUAGGGAAACUUACGCUAAUACCGCAUACGACCUACGGGUGAAAGCAGGGGAUCUUCGGACCUUGCGCGAUUGAAUGAGCCGAUGUCGGAUUAGCUAGUUGGCGGGGUAAAGGCCCACCAAGGCGACGAUCCGUAGCUGGUCUGAGAGGAUGAACAGCCACACUGGAACUGAGCCACGGUCCAGACUCCUACGGGAGGCAGCAGUGGGGAAUAUUGGACAAUGGGCGCAAGCCUGAUCCAGCCAUACCGCGUGGGUGAAGAAGGCCUUCGGGUUGUAAAGCCCUUUUGUUGGGAAAGAAAAGCAGCAGGUUAAUACCCCGCUGUUCUGACGGUACCCAAAGAAUAAGCACCGGCUAACUUCGUG